rnacentral:tRNA from 1 species
AGGAAUAUAACUCAAAAGGUUUAGAGUACUGCCUCUUAAGCAGCGAGAUCCUGGUUCGAUUCCAGGUGUUCCUACCA